CACACCCACUUAGUUAUUCCAAGGACUUCCGGAGGUGGAGCCUGGGGCUGACACACCUUUGGCAUGGCCCACGCCAGGGAAAUGCUGGAGGUCUUACUUUCCUGUUAACUGGUUUCCCAGAAGCUCCAUUUCCUAAAAACAAAUGUAUUCAGAAAAGGGAACUUGGGAGGGGAAACCUGGAAUGCCCCCAGAUCCAAUCCGGAACCAGGUUCCCCAGAGCCCUUUCCCACCCCGAGAUAAACAAAGCCUCUGCCGGACUACUGCCUCUGCAACACUAAACAGCCUCCCCAGGGAAGACGGAUCUGGCUACAGGUUCACCAUGAAAUUCUUUACCAUCCUGCUGCUGGCCACCUGAGCCUCCACCUCUCUCGCCAUCCUUAAUGAGCCAGAAGAUGAGAUCCACUUGCAGGCUCAACGCAUAAAUGCCCGUAAGUCUCAUGUUGGCAUCCUUUAGAGGGAGUUGGUGGUAGUGAAAGAUGGUCCAGUAAAUGAUGAAUUCUCCACCUGAGGAAGAAGUGGAGCAGAGACCAUCCCUCCUGGCGCUGGACCUUAAUCCUUCCUGCUGCACUAAUUGGCCAAGAUCUGGGGGCCGGGAACAAUUUGAACAGCACUUCAUGCUGGGUAGUCAUUGAAGAUGACUAUAUCUCAUACCCAAAUGUUAGCAGCUGCUCAGCUGAUAUCUGAAAAGGACCAUGUCUCCAUUGAAAACCUUUCUGAGGAAUCUCUCAUCUCCAGAGAAGAGCUGGUUUUUGAAGAGGAUGAUAUGACCAAAUCUACCAGGAGACCAAAGCGUCAAAGGCCCGAGCUGCUUCACCCCAUCCCCCAGGAGGACAGUAUCAGAAAUGCUGCCUCUCAGUCAGAAGAGACUACAGAACUCACUCCCAGGGCUGGUAGGAGCCAGGGCCAAGGGGAAGAAGCCGGGAGGGAGGCAUUAAACAGAAAAACGCAGUGGCCGGACACUACCUUGGGGGAGAAAGUUGGGGAUGGAAAGAGAAAGGAAGCUGAAGGGGAGCAAAAAUUAAAGCAACCACCUCAGAGGGAAAACUGGCCAAGCUCGGCCAUAAAAUCGGGAAGAAUGUGGACAAAACAGUAAAAGAAACCAUGAGCUAUCUGAAAAAACCUACUCCCUCAUGCCUAUGAAGUCAUAAGGCCCUAAUGAUAAUAAGGCCCAGUCCCGGCCAAAGCUGGUGUCUACAGCACCCAAACCCUCCUUGCCCUGACCACCAUCUCUCAGCUCCCCACGUCCCUUAUUAAAGCGUUGCAUCCCAGUCUGGCUCUGUGGUGGCUUUGUCGGGCCAGGAGGCAAGGCGGAGGCCCCCACUCCACUAGGAUUCUUCCUGAGUUACCCCAUCGCUCUAAUUUUAAACCUCCCCUCCUCAGCUUACAACCUGUUCAAGUCUCCACGUCCCAAAAUAUCCUCUGUGAGGUCUUGACUCCCCUCAAGCUGCCCCUCCUCUUCAUCCACACUGCCUCCCUGCUCCCUCACCCCCUGCACCCCUCACCCCCUGCAAUCUACAUUUUCACACCCUCCAGCAACUGCUCCCCCCAACAUCACUGACGGCAACAAGCCCAGUGGCUAUUUCUGGUCCCUACUCCUCUCUUCAUGGUCUCUGCAGAACUGGACACGAUUACCCCUCCUAGAAAGUUUCCCCGCACUGACCUCCCAACGUGCUGCACUCUACUGGUUCUCCAAGCCCCCCAUUUCCUUCCUGGCACAUUUUCUGACCAUGCACUCUAUGCUCCCAGGGUCCCAUCCUGUGCCCUCUCAUCUUCUCUCCACCUUCCUUCCUCUACAUCCCCAUUUGCCAAGACUUCAGCUUCACCUCAGGGUGGAUGGGGUCCCAUUUACCCACCACCACACAACCACCCAGUGUCUACUAUAUGUCACACUCAUCUACCUAAUAUGUGCCAAAUUA